rnacentral:sRNA from 1 species
GGGCCGCCCACCUUCUCGGACCACUGGAACCAGAGAAACAGCUGUGCCUGGCCCCUUGGGCAUAGAGGACAUUUCACCUAACUUGUCACCAGAUGAUAAAUCCUUCAGCCGUGUCGUGCCCCGAGUGCCAGACUCCACCAGACGAACAGAUGAGUGGUGAAAGGACAUAGGAAGGAGUCUGGGGAACUGUACUACAGCAUUGAAAAAGAAGGCCAAAGAAAGUGGUAUAAGCGAAUGGCUGUCAUCCUGUCCUUGGAGCAAGGAAACAGACUGAGAGAGCAGUAUGGGCUUGGCCCCUAUGAGGCAGUAACACCUCUUACAAAGGCAGCAGAUAUCAGCUUAGACAAUUUGGUGGAAGGGAAGCGGAAACGGCGCAGUAACGUCAGCUCCCCAGCCACCCCUACUGCCUCCAGUAGCAGCAGCACAACCCC